ensembl:rRNA 5S_rRNA 5S ribosomal RNA
GCUUACGGCCAUACCAGCCCAAGAACGUCUGAUCUCGGAAGCUAAGAAGGCUUGGGUCUGGUUAGUACUUGGAUGUGAGACCUCCUGGGAAUGCCAGGUGCUGUAAGCU